GACGAACGCUGGCGGCGUGCUUAACACAUGCAAGUCGAACGGAAAGGCCCUGCUUUUGUGGGGUGCUCGAGUGGCGAACGGGUGAGUAACACGUGAGUAACCUGCCCUUGACUUUGGGAUAACUUCAGGAAACUGGGGCUAAUACCGGAUAGGAGCUCCUGCUGCAUGGUGGGGGUUGGAAAGUUUCGGCGGUUGGGGAUGGACUCGCGGCUUAUCAGCUUGUUGGUGGGGUAGUGGCUUACCAAGGCUUCGACGGGUAGCCGGCCUGAGAGGGGGACCGGCCACAAGGGGACUGAGAUAGGGCGCAGACGCCUACGGGAGGCAGCAGUGGGGAAUAUGGCAGAAUGGGCGGAAGCCUGAGGCAGCGACGCCGCGUGCGUGAUGACGGCCUUCGGGUUGUAAACCGCUGUGGCCUGUGACGAAGCGUGAGUGACGGUAAUGGGUAAAGAAGCACCGGCUAACUACGUG
rnacentral:rRNA from 1 species